UUGAGACAGAGUGACAGAGUUUUGAGAAUUACCGCUGCUGGAGCGCUAUGUCUCCAUGCUAUUGCAGUUUCACGCGUUUACACGCGAUUUGUUUUCUGUCGUGUUUGCUCACAUAUUUAGCAUGUCUAGCUUGAUGUUAGGUGUGGUUUGCGAGCCCCUGCUAUUCGCAUUCACUACGACGAAUUAACGUUGCCGUGCUUACCGCCCCAAGCUUGUGCUGACAUUCAUGCAUGGCCGUCGUCGCUGAUUGUAAUGUCUGCUCCAAACGGCACAUCUGAGCACCACAUCCUUGUACCCAUCGUGUCCCAGCCAGCACCCAUGAAGCAAACCCCACACGAAACAGAAACUCCCGACCUGUUUAUCCAAGCAGCUCAUCAUGGAGGUAGAGAUGUUGCGACACCUCAGUCGAUGACUGUCAUCUGCGAGACAGCUCCGAUCACCGACAUCGAAUGGGCCAGGAGUGGCUCGAUGGGUGUCGCCCCUGCCACAGCUCAUAGUGAGCAGUCAAAUGGAGACAACACAAACGACAAGCAGGAUGCUAGACUGAAGAUUUCUCCAUUCAUAAUGAAACCCCAUCUCUGCUACCUCCGUCCAAUCGUGGUUAAUGCCCCCUCUCACCUGGAAGACCACCAGAGAUCAGAUACCAAGGAGAGCCCAUUCCAGUGCACCCACUGUUGCAAGAGGUUUACGGCAAAGAGGAACCUCUACCGGCACAUACGGCAAAAGCACAGUUGAGAAGACCGUUUGUGUGAAACCGACGAGUGAGCAAGUGACAAUGGGGAGUUUUAAAUAUAGUGGACCCAAAGUUAGUGAAUGACAGCUGCCUUAUACACAAAAUAUAUUAAGCAGAGUUUAGGUUUUGCACAUGUGCAGUGACUCUGAUGCUAUCUUUGGGCACAUUAAAACUCCUUAAUAUAUUUAUGAGCAGCAGAUGCAAGCAACAGAGCAUACCCAAAGGAUCAGGUCAGCAGCUUGCAUGCAACCUAAACUCGGCUUGAGUUCUUAAAGGGACACUAAAGUGAAAAAUGAUUUCUUCUGCAUCAGUAAAUUACCUUUCUACAACACCAAAAACACCACUCUUGCAACGCUAAGACGUUUGGUAAGCCAGAAAAAGUGCAAGAACGAAAUACGGGUGGCGAUGCCUACUUAAGUUCCCACACUCAGGGGCUGUGACAUCUUGGAUUUUGAUGGCAUCUUCUAGGGCCUGCUAAUUAUAUAUAGCGGUACAGAUUGACUACAUUGUGUUCUAAAGGAACAAAAUAUUAAACAUGGCAAGUUUCGGGAACCUUUAUUCAGCCAACGUGGCCCAAAUGCAAAAACCUACUUUGGAAUCCCUGACGUCGCGCUGACGUACCGGCGCUGGGGUUUCGACGCAAAAUACAAAUACCGAUACUUGGACCUUAAUUUUCCCAUCUAAUGACCAAACUAUUUUUUUGAAAUGACUGCCUGCACAGUUCUCAAACAAUGCUUCAUUAGUCUAAACUGAUUUAUUGUUUCGCUUUAGUGUCCCUUUAAGUACCCAGGGUGGAUGACAUACACUAACUUCAGGUCCCUCCGAUGCAAUCACUUCUCUUGAAAGCUCUAGCAAUGGUCCCCAAAAGAGUUUGUAAAUUUCAUCAAACAAGUGCAGUGCAUAAUAUAUUUUAAUGCACAUUACCCUCUCCAAAUAUUUUCAGACCUUCAAGUACAAAGUUGGUAUGCAAAUUACAUGCAAAUCCUUCUGUUGAUGCGUGGUGUGGCUUCACUGCAACUUGUCACAAGGUCACAUUGCGAUUCAACAUGGCAGUACGUACAAUGUUAAUGACCAAAGAUGCAAACAGAGUUGUUUCUGAAUAUAUUGUUCAAAUGCUGACAGCUGUGAUGGUUUACUUGCAUAAAUAUCUGAGUAUUGUUGUGUGCA